GACGAACGCUGGCGGCGUGCCUAAUACAUGCAAGUAGAACGCACAGUUUAUACCGUAGCUUGCUACACCAUAGACUGUGAGUUGCGAACGGGUGAGUAACGCGUAGGUAACCUGCCUGGUAGCGGGGGAUAACUAUUGGAAACGAUAGCUAAUACCGCAUAAUAUUGAUUAUUGCAUGAUAAUUGAUUGAAAGAUGCUAUUGCAUCACUACCAGAUGGCCCUGCGUUGUAUUAGCUAGUAGGUGAGGUAACGGCUCACCUAGGCGAAGAUACAUAGCCGACCUGAGAGGGUGAUCGGCCACACUGGGACUGAGACACGGCCCAGACUCCUACGGGAGGCAGCAGUAGGGAAUCUUCGGCAAUGGACGAAAGUCUGACCGAGCAACGCCGCGUGAGUGAAGAAGGUUUUCGGAUCGUAAAGCUCUGUUGUAAGAGAAGAACGGGUGUGAGAGUGGAAAGUUCACACUGUGACGGUAUCUUACCAGAAAGGGACGGCUAACUACGUG
rnacentral:rRNA from 1 species